rnacentral:rRNA from 1 species
CCUACGGGUGGCAGCAGUGAGGACUAUUGGUCAAUGGGCGCGAGCCUGAACCAGCCAAGUAGCGUGAGGGAAGACGGCCCUACGGGUUGUAAACCUCUUUUGCCGGGGAGCAAAGUGCGCCACGUGUGGCGCCACUGAGAGUACCCGGAGCAAACGCAUCGGCUAACUCCGUGUCAGCAGCCGCGGUAAUACGGAGGUACCAAGCGGUAUCCGGAUUUAUUGGGUUUAAAGGGUGCGUAGGCGGUCCGUACAGUCAGCGGGAAAAGCCCGGGUCUCAACCCCGGCGAGCCGUUGAAACUGGCGAACUAGAGUCGGCGAGAAGUACGCGGAAUGCGCGGUGUAGCGGUGAAAUGCAUAGAUAGCGCGCAGAACUCCGAUUGCGAAGGCAGCGUACCGGCGCCGGACUGACGCUGAGGCACGAAAGCGUGGGUAUCGAACAGGAUUAGAUACCCCGGUAGUC